rnacentral:rRNA from 1 species
AUGGAAAGGGCUAGGCAAUCCACAUAUACACUUCAACACCCCCUCUCACGUGUGACGUGGAAAGUCAACACAUGGAUAGACUCAGAGGUAUGGCUCAAGAGGCCUAUACGUGGACAAAGGGGGGCAGCAGCAAUUUUUUUGGAUAAACUGCGAAAGCCAGGACUUGAACUCAAGACCUUAGCUCUGAUACCAUGUUAUGCUUCAUGCACUAGCCAACGCAACCAAAAGUCCGGACUGAUGGAAAGGGCUAGGCAAUCCACAUAUACACUAAAACAAUAUCUACUCCAUGAAUUAUUAAUUGUAAAACUAUGCGCAGAGAGGAACCUUGAGUGUGACGAAAGUACCAAACCGAAGUAUAUCCUAUAUAUUGAAGUCACUAAAUUGGUGUAA